GCCGCGGUACCAACGUCGUCGUUCUUUUCGACCCUCGCGCGGUCUCCGUCGCCGGCGAGCACAUUUAUUACGCGAUUGAGUAAAGGAUUCACGCUUUCUUUCUCUCUCUUUCUUUUUCUCUCUCUCUCUCUUCAUUCGCACGAGUCAACGACACGCGAGCGCGUCGCGUAUGCUUGAACUCGAUUGCUUCCGUUUAGCCGAAAGUAAAGCCGUCGGUGGGUCCCAGGUGUGUGAGUGAAUCGGGGAUUUUUGUGGCACGACUACCGACUACCUCCGGCGCGGACGGCAGACGCACCCCCUUCGAUUCGGCGCACGCCACACAUUCGGCCCUUCGUCCCACGCGAGUACUCGUGACUAAUCGGCGAGGCGAGUGAAGUCGAGGCAUGUAACGAGGCACACGAGGGAAAUCGAUGAGAGGCAUCGUCGCCAGGCCACGAAGCCGAGAUAUGUUCUGGAUGAUCAAAUAACUGUUGGACAUUCAAAGAUGAAUUGGCCACUGGUGCUGACUUGUUUUUUGCUGCCACAAUCGUGCAUUCUCGGUGCAUCGCGUGG